AGGUAGUUUAGUGCUUAAUUGCGCUAAUGAUAAGCUUAACGUUUACCUGUUAACUCAAUAUUCAUAAUAAGUUCUUUGACAUAUUGGAAAAAAGUAAGAAGUAUAGAAAGUAA
rnacentral:misc_RNA from 1 species